rnacentral:lncRNA from 1 species
AAACGUUCUGUGUUUGUCGCCUUAGCGCGUGCUUUGUGUAAUAAUCUCGAUGCUUCACGUAAACUUGCUUACACGGUGUUUGCUCUAGUGUGCUUCUGCGACGAUAACGUGAAGACUGCUCAGCGUGCACCAGAUUAAGGCGUUCUCAGCCAUAAAUUGCUUGGAUUUCGACUCCACGAAGUGGCACCAAGAAUAAUGGCAAGACGAGCAACAAGCUUACUUCAAGGCCCAUGCGCUCCGAUUGUUUGAAUUUUGCAGGCACUUCCUCGAAUGUGGAUGCGGCAGUCCAGAAGAAAUUGACACAAGACAUAGUUGCCUUGCCAAAAUAUUCGCCCGCAAGAUCGCCGACAUCAUUAAAGGCCAGAAGAAGCACAUGUAGUUGUGAUUAUGAGAAUAUAUUUGAACAUAUGCCUCAUUCA